AUUGAACACUGGCGGCAUGCUUUACACAUGCAAGUCGAACGGCAGCGCGGGCUUCGGCCUGGCGGCGAGUGGCGAACGGGUGAGUAAUACAUCGGAACGUGCCCAGUAGUGGGGGAUAGCUCGGCGAAAGCCGGAUUAAUACCGCAUACGACCUGAGGGUGAAAGCGGGGGAUCUUCGGACCUCGCGCUAUUGGAGCGGCCGAUGGCAGAUUAGCUAGUUGGUGGGGUAAAGGCCUACCAAGGCGACGAUCUGUAGCUGGUCUGAGAGGACGACCAGCCACACUGGGACUGAGACACGGCCCAGACUCCUACGGGAGGCAGCAGUGGGGAAUUUUGGACAAUGGGCGAAAGCCUGAUCCAGCAAUGCCGCGUGUGUGAUGAAGGCCUUCGGGUUGUAAAGCACUUUUGGCGGGAACGAAAAGGACUGUGCCAAUACCACGGUUCGAUGACGGUACCCGCAGAAUAAGCACCGGCUAACUACGUG
rnacentral:rRNA from 1 species